GUCAUAGUGGCAGACCUAUGCAUUAGAUUUAAACCCUAACUACGAAAUAUUUUCCUAUGACA
rnacentral:tRNA from 1 species